rnacentral:rRNA from 1 species
GGCGACCGGGUGAGUAACACGUGACUAACCUACCCUUGAGUGGGGUGGAUAACCUCGGGAAACCGGGGCUAAAUACCGCAUAACCAUCGCAAGAUCAAAGGAGCAAUCCGCUGAAGGAGGGGGUCGCGGCUGAUUAGUUAGUUGGUGAGGUAACGGCUCACCAAGACGAAGAUCAGUAGCCGGCCUGAGAGGGCGCACGGCACACUGGAACUGAAACACGGUCCAGACUCCUACGGGAGGCAGCAGUGGGGAAUUUUGCGCAAUGGGGGAAACCCUGACGCAGCAACGCCGCGUGGAGGCAAUGAAGUCCCUUGGGAUGUUAACUCCUUUCGAUCGGGACGAUUAUACGGUACCGGAAGAAGAAGCACCGGCUAACUCUGUGCCAAGAGCCG